rnacentral:rRNA from 1 species
UACGUAGGAGGCGAGCGUUGUCCGGAGUUACUGGGCGUAAAGGGUGCGUAGGCGGCUGCGCGCGUGGAGGGUGAAAUCUCUCGGCUUACCCGGGAGGGGGCUUUCCAGACGGCGUGGCUUGAGGGACGGAGAGGGGCGUGGAAUUCCGGGUGGAGCGGUGAAAUGCGUAGAGAUCCGGAGGAACACCGACGGCGUAGGCAGCGCCCUGGCCGUUUCCUGACGCUGAUACGCGAAAGCGUGGGGAGCAAACAGG